UACGAAGGGUGCUAGCGUUGUUCGGAAUUACUGGGCGUAAAGCGCACGUAGGCGGAUUUGUAAGUCAGGGGUGAAAUCCCGGGGCUCAACCUCGGAACUGCCUUUGAUACUGGAAGUCUUGAGACCGGGAGAGGUGAGUGGAAUUCCUAGUGUAGAGGUGAAAUUCGUAGAUAUUAGGAAGAACACCAGUGGCGAAGGCGGCUCACUGGCUCUGUACUGACGCUGAGGUGCGAAAGCGUGGGGAGCAAACAGG
rnacentral:rRNA from 1 species